CUAUCGGACUCGCGAAUGCACCCAGANGNAUUAAUGAUCAUGGCUCAGGAUGANCCGCGGGCGUAGGCUAAUACAUGCAAGUCGAGGGGUACAUGGUCUUCGGACUGAUGACGACCGGCAAACGGGUGAGGAACACGUACGCAACCUUCCCAAAACUGGUGAAUAGCCCUCCGAAAGGAGGAUUAAUACACCGUAAGAUAACGAGAUGGCAUCAUCUUGUUAUUAUAGCUCCGGCGGUUUUGGAUGGGCGUGCGCCUGAUUAGGUAGUUGGCGGGGUAACGGCCCACCAAGCCUGCGAUCAGUAACUGGCGUGAGAGCACGACCAGUCACACGGGCACUGAGACACGGGCCCGACUCCUACGGGAGGCAGCAGUAAGGAAUAUUGGUCAAUGGACGAAAGUCUGAACCAGCCAUGCCGCGUGAAGGAUGAAGGUCCUCUGGAUUGUAAACUUCUUUUAUCUGGGACGAAAAAAGGUUAUUCUUAACCACUUGACGGUACCAGAGGAAUAAGCACCGGCUAACUCCGUGCCAGCAGCCGCGGUAAUACGGAGGGUGCAAAGCCGUUAAUCCCCGGGAAUUCACUGGGGUUUUACAGGGUGCCGUAGUGNGCAUUGGGUAAAGUCCCGUGGGUGGAAAAUCCUCCAAGCUUAAACUUGGGAAAACUGCCGUUGGAAUAACUAAUCAAGUCUUGAAAUUUCCCUGGAGGUAAGCGGGAAUAUGUCAUGUACGGUGAAAUGCUUAAUAUGACCAUAAAACACCAAUGG
rnacentral:rRNA from 1 species